UGAGGAAUAUUGGUCAAUGGGAGGAAUCCUGAACCAGCCAUGCCGCGUGCAGGACGACGGCUCUACGAGUUGUAAACUGCUUUUGUACCGGGGUAAAAUGCCUUACGAGUAGGGUUUUGAAAGUACGGUACGAAUAAGGAUCGGCUAACUCCGUGCCAGCAGCCGCGGUAAUACGGAGGAUCCGAGCGUUAUCCGGAUUCAUUGGGUUUAAAGGGUGCGUAGGUUGUUUUAUAAGUUAGCGGUGAAAUACCGAUGCUCAACAUCGGGGCUGCCGCUAAUACUGUAGGACUAGAGAUCGGAUGCAGCAGGCGGAAUGUGUAGUGUAGCGGUGAAAUGCAUAGAUAUUACACAGAACACCGAUUGCGAAGGCAGCUUGCUAGGCCGGAUCUGACACUGAUACACGAAAGCGUGGGGAUCGAACAGG
rnacentral:rRNA from 1 species